CCUACGGGUGGCAGCAGUGGGGAAUCUUGCACAAUGGGCGAAAGCCUGAUGCAGCAACGCCGCGUGAAGGAAGAAGGGUUUCGGCUCGUAAACUUCUAUCAUCAGGGACGAAAGAAAUGACGGUACCUGGAUAAGAAGCCCCGGCUAACUCAGUGCCAGCAGCCGCGGUACUACGUAGGGGGCACGCGUUCUCCGGAAUUACUGGGUGUAAAGGGUGAGUAGGCGGCAUGGUAAGCCAGAUGUGAAAGCCUUGGGAUUAACCCGAGGAUUGCAUUUGGGACGAGCCAGCUAGAGGACAGGAGAGGAAAGCGGAAUGCCUAGUGUAGCGGUGAAAUGCGUAGAUAUUAGGAAGAACACCAGUGGCGAAGGCGGCUUUCUGGACUGAAACUGACGCUGAGGCACGAAAGCGUGGGGAGUGAACAGGAUUAGAUACCCUUGUAGUC
rnacentral:rRNA from 1 species